AGUUUGUUGAAGGAUGGAUACGCUGGUAGCAACAAAAUACUAGGCGUAGGUAAACAAUCUAAUAUAUCAGCGUUCGAAUCCGGCUGCCAUCACAUUUUAUUUAACCCGUUUAGCAAAUAGAUGAGGUGCUUAAUCAACAAUAACGACGACAACCUCUGAGCUUCACGAAUAUGCUAAAUUUAUAGCGCUUCACUAAAUCGUAUACCGGUUCGCGCUAAAUAAAAACUGAUGCUUAAAUUCAAAUUUCUGUGUUAGUAAAAGAGCAGAUAAAGCGAGGAUAAAAAUGUAGGAUGUUGAUUAAGACUCUAAAUAGAGUAGCGCAGAGAAUAAUACUAAAUACUGAAAGACCGAUCCCGUUAAACUAAUAUCAAAUCCAUAGCAUCAAACAGAGGUUUGUAUUAUGUAUCCUAUGAACUAUCCUCAUCAAUAAUUGCUUAUUAUAAUAUAACAUAAACAUAUACAACUUUCGUGUAACUAGCCAAGGACUACUAUAAGUAAUAUGGUUUAUUCAUACAAUGCUAGUUCCUAUACCUAUAGAAAUUCGUUUCCUGCUGAGCUUAUUUUAAGCUAUGGGUAAGCGAGUCAAAAACCAAAGACGCUAUUUGUAAAAUGGCAAACGAAAUUAGGUAUUCUUGUUUUAAUUAUAAGCUUAAGAGACAUUUGACAUCUCGUUGGUAGUAAUAGAAACUUGUUUUUUAACUUGUUCCAUUCGCUUUAAUGAUAGCUGCACUGCCCUUGGUACUUUAUUCUUGAAACUUUUUAGAUUUUUU